rnacentral:rRNA from 1 species
GACAGAGGGUGCAAACGUUGUUCGGAAUACUGGCGUAAGCGUGAUGUAGGCGGCUACAUAAGUCGGAUGUGAAAGCCCCGGGCUCAAACCCCGGGGAAGUGCCACUCGAGUACUGCGUAGCUUGAGUCUCCGGAGAGGUUGGUGGGAAUUCUCGGGUGUAGAGGUGAAAUCGUAGAUAGUCGAAGAGGAACAGACCGGCUGGCGGAAAGG